rnacentral:rRNA from 1 species
AUGGUGACCGCCGAGGCCACGAUGGCGGUCGUGAGGGCCGCGCGCCCCGUCUUCAUUUCCGCCCACGACGGCAUCGCGUUCGCUGCAAACGCCGCGUUCCUCGCCGACGGAUACUCCCUCUGCACCGCCGGUCCUGCCGCGCUCAUGGAUCGCCUGCCCGCAGACGAGGUGGAGGUGGGAUUUGAGGGUUGGAACAGUAUGUACAACUGCUAUGCCUUUUUGUACUCCAAGGAGGAGGAGGGCAAGAAGAAGUGCAUCUUAAUGGAAUGUCUACGGAUUGCUGACUUCCUUGCUAUUAAUGCGCGAGAUCUUGAGGCACGACACAAGAAACCCUGCAAUGUCCACAUAAAUGUGAAGGAUUUCUUCUCUGAAGAACAGACCAGGAAGUAUAAAGAUUUGUACAAGAAUUUUCCGGACUUCAUUAAUAUCCUGAACUUAAGCUUAUUUGCUGAAUUGAAUGGUAAGGAUGCUGCUGCCGCCCAGAAUCCUAAUGUUGAGAGCAGUUCGUCAAUAAACAGUUCUUGA